GAUGAAGAACGUAGCGAAAUGCGAUACGUAGUGUGAAUUGCAGGUUUACGUGAAUCAUCGAAUCUUUGAACGCAAAUUGCACUUUCCAGUAUUCUGGGAAGUAUGCCUGGUUGAGGGUCGUUAAAAUAACAAUCGUAAAAUUUUUUUACGGAUUUGGGUUUUCCGGCGUUUUUUAAAUUAAAUGCUGGUAACUUUAAAAUGAUCUUUUUUGGUUUAAGUUAAAACGUUCUAUAAUUACAUGGUUCGUUGAAAACUUACCUAAUAUUAUAUAUUAUGUUUACACUUGUCAUUUUAAUCGAUUCGUGCAAGCAUAUAUUUUUUUUAUGACCUCAACUCAAGCAAGAUUACCCGCUGAACUUAAGCAUAUCAAUAAGCGGAGGA
rnacentral:misc_RNA from 1 species